CCAAAAAAAAAAAAAGCAUGUGAACAUCUUCUAGUUCUGAACAGUGCCAUGAAUGGACAGGGAGCUCUUCCCCACCCUGUGCCUCUUUGGGGACAGCACUGCAGAGUGCCACUGCUUACUGCACUAAAACUGUCACUGCUGAUUGAAGCUAAAGACCACUGUGGAAUGCAGAACAGGAGGACAUCCUCUGACAUGUUACUGCAGUCAGGGAAGAUGGGUGGUGUGGGAACAGGAGCUAGGAGAAACCAUGGUCAAGACUUGUCCGAACUUCAGGGAACUUGAAGGAGCAGAGGGAAUCCUACAAAUGACCCUGCCUGAGAUGUAGCCCUACUUGCCCCCACAUAGUGCCAACUCAGCUGAGUCCCUCUCCUGGGAUCCUCUCUUCAGAGAUGCCUGUAUUUGUUGAUUAUCCACCCUAUGCCUGGUCCCUGCAGAAUGCAAGGAAGAGAUGGCCUUGAGCAGUGGCCAAUGCUGGAAGCUACAGAAUGAACCGUGAGGAGUCCAAGGCCACAGGAUGAGGUUUUCCGGACUCUCGGCCCUAGGGACCUGGUUCUCUCCAUGGGUGCAGACCUUAUUUUCUUUAUCCUCUUUUCCCUAGGCUGGCAUGGGCCUUACCUGUAGUUAACAAGUGCUGGCAAGUAAGUGUGUCGCGUGUGUUGUAGAGAGUAAGGUCCAUUAGGAUCCUGCUGCACGAGCCACCCCCUGGGGCCCCUGCCUCUCUGGAUCUCCCAGUCCCUCACUGGACAGCCCUGGCAACUGGAUCCAGCUACCUUAGGGGUGCCCAAGGCGGCUGCCCAUGGGCCCUUCUUACACAGUACAUCCUGGCAGAUGUUAAAGGUGAAACUCCUUUCUCUUCUUCACACUAAAUAUGACUAAUAUCCGUAACUCUUCACCCCUGGCCCUCGACAUACUGAUUAUCCAAUCUGGAGAGGCACAAAAGUAUCUAGAUGUGAUCUGAAUGGGCAGAAACAGGGAUGUGGAUGGAAAUUUGGGGUUUUCUUGCUUGCUUUGGCAGUUGGGGGAUUUGAGUUGUAAUGCUGAUGGCCGCUGGCAUGGCCUCAGGCACUGCAGGAAGAUUCAGAGUUGCUGCCUAUUGCUUCUUUCUUUGGUGUUCUCUUGGCCUUUACAUAGGUGCUAUUUUGAUGUAAAAACCUGCAGCAUAGCCCUCAACAGCACUGUUGUUUCUCCUCAAUGAGCCUGAAAACUCCCUGAGGCAGCUAGCUGGCGGUAAGCACUCUUUAAAUGUUAGCUAGUAUUAUUUGCUUUGUUAUUUUAUUAUUUGAACAGACAAUCAUUUAUGGCAUUUAAUGGGCAUGUACUAUGUGCCAAAAACUGUUAGGUGCAAAUACAGCAGUGAACAGAAUAGACCUGUCCCUGCCUGCCAGAGCUCCCAGGAAACUCUGAGAAGACUUGUUGAUUGAAUGAUAAACCCUGAUUGCACUCACUGUGAUUAACACCUCCAAGACCAGACAUCUUUGGGUACCUUCUGUAUGAUCAACUGGGAACACACCUUCAGGUGCUAGAAUGCUGGAACCUCAAAGAGCUCCCAAGGAAGUGAGGCCCCUAAGCCAGACCUCUGUCCCUGGACUGCUUGGUGAGGGCCUGAUGGAUCUGGGAUUCCUGCAGAAGGUUCUGCUGGCAGAACAGAGCGUGGGGGCUGGAUAAAGCCUUUCACCCUCAAGUAAGAUAACCAGCUGGCCCUGGUUUGCCUAGGACUUCCUCACUUUUUGCAAUGCAAGUCCCAAAUCCUGGGAAACUCACAUUCCUGAGCAGACUGAGACAGUUGGUCACCUUAUCUGCAAGGCCUUUUGUACCUGCAAACCUGCUCUGGAUCACACCGCACCUUGCAUAGCCGGAUUCCUGGAUGCAAGGGAGACUUGGUAGCUGAGGAAGAACCCUGAGCCAGUGCCGGGACAUUCCCAUCAGAGUCGCAAGCUGUGUAGACUGUGCCUGUGUCAACAGCACAGAACUCCUAGCCAUAGCAUGGGAGAGAGUGGAAAGUGCAUUUUCACCUGAGCCUCUGAAAAUAUAGCAACCUGGUCACUUCUGGGUGGUCUAUUACGGGUGGCUUUAAUAAAUAUUUUUUAUUUCUACCUGUAUUUCUUCGUUUUUGUACAACUAAGCCAUGUUCCUUUUAUUUGUGUAUGUUUUCAAUAAAAGAAAGUCAUUGGUGA